GCAAGUCGAGCGGUAAGCUAACUUCGGUUAGCCUAGAGCGGCGGACGGGUGAGUAACACGUGGAUAAUCUACCCCCUUGUUUGGGAUAGCCUGUGGAAACAUAGGGUAAUACCAAAUAAUACUCUUUUAUCACAAGAUAAGAGAAGGAAAGGCGCCUCAAAGCGUCGCAAGAGGAUGAGUCUGCGUCCCAUUAGCUAGACGGCAGGGUAAAAGCCUACCGUGGCAAUGAUGGGUAGCCGGCCUGAGAGGGUGAUC
rnacentral:rRNA from 1 species